UACGGGGGGAGCAAGCGUUGUUCGGAUUUACUGGGCGUAAAGGGCGCGUAGGCGGUAGCACAAGUCAGUUGUGAAAUCUCCGGGCUUAACUCGGAAAGGUCAACUGAUACUGUGCGACUAGAGUGCAGAAGGGGCAACUGGAAUUCUCGGUGUAGCGGUGAAAUGCGUAGAUAUCGAGAGGAGCACCUGCGGCGAAGGCGGGUUGCUGGGCUGACACUGACGCUGAGGCGCGAAAGCCAGGGGAGCAAACGGG
rnacentral:rRNA from 1 species